CUUCUUUCCCACGUGGCCACCUUAUGACAUAGUGGGACAACUGCCUCCUGACUCUGCUUCCAUCUGUCCUGGAGUCCUGUAUACCCCUAAAUUCCUCUCCUGCCGUGGCUUGAAUGGGAGGGGGGAAAAGCCGCCUGGUUCCCACCCCUCACCUGCCCUGCAGGCGUGAAGGGGGUGAGCAAAGGGGUCCUGCUCACACGAGGAGUGCCCCGUACAGUGCCCGCGAUGGACUUGGGCUGGGAUUGGCUGUGCCCUAUUGCGCCUAAGGAAGUGGUAACUUUGCUCUUUGUCUAGAGAGGGUAUAAAUACUGGGGGCUUCCCGCCUUUGGGGAUUCCCGCCUUGGAGUUCGUCCCCGCUUGGAGUUCGUUCCUGCCUGAACCUUCAUGCUUGCCUGAGAGUUCUCCCUGCCCCCGCUCUUGCCCCGCCUGGAUACAGAAAGAGCUUCAAAGACUGCUUCAUCCAUUGACACCCUUUGUAAGUUUAACGACCCUUAGCGGUCCACCUGCAGCUGCUGAAAGGGAACGAAAGAGACAGACUGCACGAGAAAGUCAGCUUGAUCGUGUCCUUUAAGUACUGGAAGUCUGCUAGAAAGUCUUCUGGGACCCUUCUCCAGACUGAACAAUUGCAAAUCUCUCAGUUGGUCCUCAUAGCAAAGAGCUCAGUCUCCUGUGCGGCUGUGCACCCUAUUGCAUGCCCUCUGCCUUGUCACUGCCUGGUAAACUCCAGUGCCGCAAGUUACCAGGAGCAGACCCUGGAUUGUCUGCACGCAAUAGGCCUGUGUGGUCAGCGUGACAUCAUGCUGAGACUGCACAACAUCCUCCCUGCCUGCCCCUGAGGGUCUUUCUGCUAGGACUACAAGUCCUGGAGAUCAUCCAGAGGAGCUGGGGACAAGGUCGGGGAUUGUCUGCCUCCUUUCAACAGUAGCCUGGGAGAGGUCGGGUCUUGGCGGCGAAUUGAACAGACUUCCACCUGCUUUGGGUGCUGUCUGAGUAAUAAUAAUAUGUAAGUAAAUACUUAAAUGCCUCUGUAAUUCUCUACUGCCUUCUGCCAUAAGCAGAAAGAGCUUGGGCCCAUCUACUGGGCAAAUGGUGUAUUGGUCCCAGGCGGCAUAUUGACUGCAGGGAUUCUCUCUCCCUGUUUAUUGUUUGAAUGUUUGCUAGAUAAUAAUAGUUCUGUUUGGUGUUACUCCUAGAAUGUCUUCCAUAACUGUAAAAGAACAAAUAUU